CCAAUAGCGUAUAUUAAAGUUGUUGCAGUUAAAAAGCUCGUAGUUGAACUUCGGGGUUUACCCAUUGGUCAGGCUUAAUUGUCUGUACUGGUGAGAUAAAUCUCUACCUUCUGAGGAACUUUCAUGCCAUUUAUUUGGUGUGAUUGGAAAUCAGGACUAUUACUUUGAAAAAAUUAGAGUGUUUAAAGCAGGCUAACGUCUGAAUAUAUUAGCAUGGAAUAAUGAAAUAGGACGGCUUGGUUCUAUUUCGUUGGUUUCUAGGAUCACCGUAAUGAUUAAUAGGGAUAGUUGGGGGCAUUAGUAUUCAAUUGUCAGAGGUGAAAUCCUUGGAUUUAUUGAAGACUAACUACUGCGAAAGCAUUUGCCAAGGAUGUUUUCAUUAAUCAAGAACGAAAGUUAGGGGAUCGAAGACGAUCAGAUACCGUCGUAGUCUUAACCAUAAACUAUGCCGACUAGGGAUCGGACGAAGUUAAUUUUAUAAUGACGCGUUCGGCACCUUACG
rnacentral:rRNA from 1 species